GCCUGUAAUGGCAUCAUUGAUGGCGUGUGUACAUGUAUUAAUGCCCUUCCAACCAAUGGACAGUUUUGCCAGUUAAAGGAAGUACCACCUUCUAGUUACAUUGUUGAUAUUGACAUGAGAUUGUUGGACAUGUUCCUGGCGAAUUACUUACGAAAUCUCAUCCCAAAUAUCAGUCUGCCUCUUGCUUUGAGCAACAACGUAAAUAUCACAGAUAUCGACAUAACUACUGUUUGUGGAUUAAAUGGAACACAAUAUGAGUGCAUAUGUGAGGAGCAGCAUGUCUGGACCAAUGACACCUGCAAGGCAUAUCAGGUGUGUGAUAAGAUUGUUGGAG